rnacentral:rRNA from 1 species
AUGGACAUGGAGAGCGAGACGGUUUCGCCAUCCGGCCACAAGACGGAGACGGAGACGGAGACCGAGUCCCCGACCCGAGGAGAGGAGAGGAUACAGAAUAAAUUCUUGGGCUUGGGCGGCCCUCUUCCUCGCCACCGUACCGAGGAGAUGCAUAAUACUAGUAGUACUACCCAACAACAAAUCAACAAGGCCGUCGACUCGGCUUACCUUGUUGAUAAUGCUGACAAGGCCCUCGGCUUUCUCAUCCAUGAGACGCAACGGUUGCGCCGUCGGAUUCAGUCCCGGCUGAGCAAUUCUCAAGAUGAAGAUGAAAUCCACCGCGUGCCCUCGGACAAGCUCCAAAAGAUUCGUCUCAUGUCCACCGCAUUGCUCAGCAUCUUACAGCUUAUAAACACCCACAUAUCUCCUCCUCGUAACGACAAGGAGGACGAAAUUCCUUGGCAUCUUCGUUUUCACGAUUCCGGCUGGGAGUCCACGUGGGGAAGCCGACCGCCAGCCCAUGGCACAUUUUACGACACAACUACAUGGAGUCCUAUGCAGUUUACGCACACGCCUGCUAAAUUUCCAUACUCUUCUAUGGUCGGCCGCGCCUUGCAGAUCUACUCUAUCAAAAUCGUCAACCUCAAUCCCAAUCUUGACUGGCCUCUCCAUGUCUACGGCGUGGUUGCCGCACGAGACUGCUUUGACCACAACCGCAACAUUCUCUUCCACCGGUCCGAGGCUAACUGCCAACGAGACCCUUUUUUGCAUUUGAUCGGCCCGUCUCGUGCAAUUGUGGCUGAAGAUCGUGUUAGGUUUGAAGUCCAACUAAAAAUGAAGUACGGAGCAGAGUCCAAAGAUACAGCAUUGUUCACUUCCAGCUAUAGUUACGGUUUUGACAGGCGGUGCUCCACCAUUCUGAUCUACAGCCGUUGUUGUAUGGCAGAGUUAAGCCUUGAGGGGCUUACUAAAGCAAUCCAGGCCACCAUUGUUGGUGUUCGCGUUGUCAAAGGAAAGUGGCCUUGUAAGUAUGGAUGCCAAGUUUCUUGCUCCUUGUCUCCUGUAGUAGAGGAGGCUAUUGAUUCCAUGCCUAUGGAAGUUGUGUUGCUUGAAUCUCGCGGCAAAGAAAUGCCUGCACGUUCAGAUGGUUACAUACAUUUAUCAAGGAAUGUGGUUUCGGUGGAUACACAUAGUACAUUGAAAGUUUGCAUACAAGCUUACUCGAAUGCUGGUUCCACUCCUCUACAGGGUCAUGUGAACUUUCCUGUACAGCAAUGCCAAGUAAGCAAGCGGAAAUGCUCACUUGGCAACUCUAGGGUGGUGGAGAUCAUUGUUGCUUGGUCCCUCCUUCCCAUGGACGAGCUUGGCUAG